UUCGCCCUACGGGACGCAGCAGCGAGGAAUAUUGGUCAAUGGGCGGGAGCCUGAACCAGCCAAGUCGCGUGAGGGAAGACGGUCCUAUGGAUUGUAAACCUCUUUAGGCGGGGAGCAAUGCCGGGCCCGCGUGUCCGGAGGGAGAGUACCCGCAGAAUAAGCAUCGGCUAACUCCGUGCCAGCAGCCGCGGUAAUACGGAGGAUGCGUGCGUUAUCCGGAUUUAUUGGGUUUAAAGGGUGCGUAGGCGGAUUUUUAAGUCAGCGGUAAAAUGUCCGGGCUCAACCCGGGCCGGCCGU
rnacentral:rRNA from 1 species